rnacentral:rRNA from 1 species
CCAGACUCCUACGGGAGGCAGCAGUGAGGAAUAUUGGUCAAUGGCCGAGAGGCUGAACCAGCCAAGUCGCGUGAGGGAAGACGGCCCUACGGGUUGUAAACCUCUUUUGUCGGGGAGCAAAGCGAACCACGUGUGGUUCAUUGAGAGUACCCGAAGAAAAAGCAUCGGCUAACUCCGUGCCAGCAGCCGCGGUAAUACGGAGGAUGCGAGCGUUAUCCGGAUUUAUUGGGUUUAAAGGGUGCGCAGGCGGAGGUGCAAGUCAGCGGUCAAAUUGCGGGGCUCAACCCCGUACUGCCGUUGAAACUGGCGGCCUCGAGUGGGCGAGAAGUAUGCGGAAUGCGCGGUGUAGCGGUGAAAUGCAUAGAUAUCGCGCAGAACUCCGAUUGCGAAGGCAGCAUGCCGGCUCCACACUGACGCUGAGGCACGAAAGCGUGGGUAUCGAACAGGAUUAGAUACCCUUGUA